rnacentral:rRNA from 1 species
UACGUAGGUGGCAAGCGUUGUCCGGAUUUACUGGGCGUAAAGAGCGCGCAGGCGGUCGUUCAAGUCGCGUGUGAAAGCCCCCGGCUCAACUGGGGAGGGUCACGCGAUACUGAUCGACUCGAAGGCAGGAGAGGGUAGUGGAAUUCCCGGUGUAGUGGUGAAAUGCGUAGAUAUCGGGAGGAACACCAGUGGCGAAGGCGGCUUUCUGGCCUGUUCUUGACGCUGAGGCGCGAAAGCUAGGGGAGCGAACGGG